rnacentral:rRNA from 1 species
UGCCAGCAGCCGCGGUAAGACGUAGGGCGCGAGCGUUGUCCGGAUUUAUUGGGCGUAAAGAGCUCGUAGGCGGCUUGUCGCGUCGACUGUGAAAACCCGCAGCUCAACUGCGGGCCUGCAGUCGAUACGGGCAGGCUAGAGUUCGGUAGGGGAGACUGGAAUUCCUGGUGUAGCGGUGAAAUGCGCAGAUAUCAGGAGGAACACCGGUGGCGAAGGCGGGUCUCUGGGCCGAUACUGACGCUGAGGAGCGAAAGCGUGGGGAGCGAACAGGAUUAGAUACCCUGGUAGUCCACGCUGUAAACGUUGGGCGCUAGGUGUGGGGGGCCUCUCCGGUUCCCUGUGCCGCAGCUAACGCAUUAAGCGCCCCGCCUGGGGAGUACGGCCGCAAGGCUAAAACUCAAAGGAAUUGACGGGGGCCCGCACA